CGCAGGCGUCCCGCGCGGGCUCCCGCCCCCGUGCCGGCACGUGACCGGCCGCUACGCCAGGCGGAAGGCGGUCGCGGGGACACACGCGCAGGCGCCCUAAGAAGCGAGAGGAAGAGCGCGGGCAGCGCGCCAGAGAAGGCAAGAAAACUGUCAAAGCAGAUGAUGCAAGAAUGAAGCUGACUCAGAAAUACUCAAUCCCCUCAGGAACUUCUCCAAGAAGAGGACUGGCCAUUUUAUUAGCUCCCAUCUGGAGGCAUUACAUUGAGACCACUAAGAAUCCCUGGUGAUUACGGCCACAGGGAGGCAAAUCCACACUGUAAUUUGCUACACUGCAAGAAUAUUUAAGUUUUCAGUAGACAAAUUAAAAAUUCAAAGGAGAUAGAGUGAUAAUCUUAGUGAAAUGGGGUGGGAACAGACAAGGCAAUGUUGGCGUUCAUGCAAAUUACAAACGACUUUCAUCGUUGAAAAUCGGUCACAUUUAAUGGAUGGAUUUUUUUUUCUUAAAGAAAACACGUUACCAUCAUCUACUGUGAAAUUGAGGGAAUGAAUGCACCAACCUAUGGCAUCCCUAUACACGUGAUGUUCGCUUUCUGCACAUGAAUCUGCACAACUGUACAAUGGAAAUGAGCAUUUAGUCCAACUAUAGUGUGUGCCAGGCACUUUCCAAACACUUAUCAUUGAAUGUGAACCACCACCCUAUGAAAACAGGUAUUUAGACCCCAAUUUUACAGAUGAAGAAAGUAUUAGAACAUCUGGGGCAGGGAGGAAAAGAGGACAUGAUCAGGAAAUAAAGGGCAAAGGGAGCUUACCUGGGCAGUAGGCUCACGGGUGUGUUAUAGCCUCAGAGAGUUUAAGUAACUGACCCCAAACCACACACCCAGACAGAACUCUGUUUAGAACCAGGACAUCUGCAGUUCUUCUAGGUUACUUCUCUGAAGUGGUUCAAUUUAGCACAGAAUCAUAGUAGGGUACAAAAUCUAGAAAUAGUACUUGAAUACAUUGACUCCAGAGCCAGACUAUCUUGUGACACUCUCUAUACAUCUACUUUACUUUGAGAAUAGUCUGAAUUUCAUAUUAUUAUACACAAGUGGUGGAAAGCAGGGCUGUUAGCAUCAAAGUCUACUAAAUUGGUCAGGCUCAUUGCUUAGUCUUCAGCCACUUUUAUUUCACCAAGGGCUCAUUAAAUAAACAUUUUCAGUCUGACCCAUGACUUUUAAUUACAGCUGCAAACUUAAGGGCAAGAGUCUUCUGACCUUGAGAUGCUCUUUAUGCAAUAAUACGUACUUCCAUUACUUACUGUGGGGGGGGUGUGGGAAGGUGGAAGUGGGAGUGGAGCUGGAAUUACCUUUGACUGAGCAUCUGUUAUGCACCUGGUAUGGUGCUAGGCAUUUUCCAUGUGCUACUCUAUUCAAUCCUGAGGGAUAUUGGUGCACUUUAAAAAAAAAAAAAAGUUUUUAUGAGGAUGCACAGAUUAGUACGAUAUAUAAGGUCAGCAGGGAGGUUACAUGUAGGCGGGGAGAGACAAUAAUACAAUACAAAGCUCAGGUGUUACAAGACAGAGGGGAAUGGGAGUAGUGAUGGCAGUAGGGGGAAGGAGGCUGAGGGGACUCGAGAUUGGGUGAAUACCUGCUUGGAUCAAGGUUUUUAGACUUGUUUUUUGAGGAGGGAACCAGGGACUACUUUACUUCAAAGCCUUUUGGUUAACUUUUUCCUCAAGCAGGAAAAGGCCCUGGGGAAGACAGCCUCUCUAGCAAGCAUGUCCCAUGAGGAAAAUCAGCCACAGUCCCUGGAGCUGAGGCACAAGGGAGGAGGAGAUCACCAGCUGGGGGCAGGCAAGGACUGAUGGCUGAGCAAAUACUCAACCCAACCCUGAUCUUGGGAGAGAAUCUGCUGGUGGGAGUCUGUAGGCAGUGGUAAAAAAAACUAGAUUCUUCAGGAGAUGUUCAAAUGGUCAGUUCUAAUUAUAACCACACUUGACAACAGGUGAGGCAAGAUGAAAUUUAAAGACUGAGAGGAAAUGAAAAUUCCCCAAUCUGUCAACCAAUCUCCAAUUUUCUCGACUAUUUUAGGACUAUGGUAAUUAGCCAUACCCCGAAGACAAUUUUACAAAAUAGAUUCCUCUGUCUCUAACAGGCCCACUCUAGCAAUUUAGUCUUCCUGUCUCAUGUAUAAAAUGGAAAUAAAAUUAAAGUUCAUGAAAAGUUAGGGUUAGAGAUUACACAACAGUUCCUCUUAAACCAUGUCUCAACUCCCAAUAUUAAUAACAAGUGGAUGUCAUAAAAUAGUACGCAGUGAACAUUUAAAGGAAACUAGAAGUCUGAGAUAACAGCAUUUCCUGAUUUCAAUUUUUAAAAAUUGUGGUUAAAUGAGAAUGAUCAAAUGGCAACUCAAGUAUAUAAUCUUGCAGAAUUGGCUCAUUUGGCACUGAGAAGCAAGUAAACUUUUUCACCUCUUUUACCAGCCCUUUGAACAGUUUGUUUAAGCUACCAAAUAUGUUCCUACAAGCUCUCCAGAACAUCUUGAAGUCAGGACUCUGCAAGUUGCCUCCAGGGCUAAGGUAUCUCCAAGGCUGACCGUCCACAGGGCUUACUACCAUUCACUCGACACCGAUCUUUUCUGCAAUUGAACAAAGCCGUCUCUGUGGACCUUUUUAUUUAAGCACCAAACUUUCUAAAAUCAGUAUUAGAGCUAAAAAGGAACUCAGAAGACACCUCACCCAACCUCACCCUGACCGAACAGAGGACGAGGAGGUCCAGAGAAUGGAUUGUACCGUGAAUCACUUGCAAAGUCAGGACCCAGAACCAAUCCUCCAUACCAGGGCAAUUAGGUUUAUCAAGAGCGUAGCAGGUGCCAGAUACUUGACAUUUACUCUCAUUCAAUCCCAAGAAAGCAGUGGCCCCAUUUUAUAGAUGAUGAAACAGAUUCACAAGUUAAGUAACUUGCCAAGUAGCCCAGUAAGUGACAAGGGCAGGAAUGAAACCAAUCCUGUUUAGCAACACCACCAUGCUCUCUUCACUGACUCUUCAGGUCAAAAACUUCCAGACUUCAGUGCUCCUCAACCAAUCUUAAUCCAUCCCAUUUCACAUCUCCAUCAACCCAAAAUUAAAUUCAAAGCACACGAAAGCUAAGCCAUCUAUCACACACGGUGUCGGUUGGAGAAGCAUACUGCUCAGGCUGCAGGGACAUUUCAUUUGUUUAAAUGUUUUUAUUUAAAAAAAAUUAAAGACCUUCAUGGCACAACUUCUUCCCAGCACAGUUAUGUUUUAGUUAUACCAAUUACAAUACAAUUACAACCAAUAAAUCAAGGGGGCGAGGGGGAACUUCUGACUUCAAA